UUGGAGGGCAAGUCUGGUGCCAGCAGCCGCGGUAAUUCCAGCUCCAAUAGCGUAUAUUAAGGUUGUUGCAGUUAAAAAGCUCGUAGUUGAACCUUGGGUCUGGCUGGCCGGUCCGCCUCACCGCGAGUACUGGUCCGGCUGGACCUUUCCUUCUGGGGAACCCCAUGGCCUUCACUGGCUGUGGGGGGAACCAGGACUUUUACUGUGAAAAAAUUAGAGUGUUCAAAGCAGGCCUUUGCUCGAAUACAUUAGCAUGGAAUAAUAGAAUAGGACGUGUCGG
rnacentral:rRNA from 1 species